UGAGGAAUAUUGGACAAUGGGCGGAAGCCUGAUCCAGCCAUGCCGCGUGCAGGAAGACAGCCCUAUGGGUUGUAAACUGCUUUUAUACAGGAAGAAUAAGAGGUAUGUAUACCUCGAUGACGGUACUGUAAGAAUAAGGACCGGCUAACUCCGUGCCAGCAGCCGCGGUAAUACGGAGGGUCCGAGCGUUAUCCGGAAUCAUUGGGUUUAAAGGGUCCGCAGGCGGGCAAUUAAGUCAGGGGUGAAAUGGUGCGGCUCAACCGUAGCACUGCCCUUGAUACUGGUUGUCUUGAGUUAUGGUGGAGUGGCCGGAAUAUGUAGUGUAGCGGUGAAAUGCAUAGAUAUUACAUAGAACACCGAUCGCGAAGGCAGGUCACUAACCAUCGACUGACGCUGAUGGACGAAAGCGUGGGGAGCGAACAGGAUUAGAUACCCCCGUAGUCC
rnacentral:rRNA from 1 species